CAUCGCCGAACCCUAUUCACCCGAACCUUCUCCUCCUUCCCGAUCCUCUCUUCUCCCCUUACUUUGAUCUCUCUCUCGCGGACGAAUCGGAGGCGACGGGAGCGGAGUUUCUCCUUUGGCGAUCAUCUUCGUUCGCCGGAGCUUGCUGGAACACGGCGGAGCCUAGAUCUUCUUCGGCCGAGGGUUCUGUCCGGUGAGUUCUACGGCUGAGCGACGCCGACGAGGUGGCUAGGGCACGACAGGUGCGCGAUCUGUGUCGUCCCUAGCCUAUCAACCCUUCGUUCCGUCUCCACGAGCUGCUCACAGAGCAAUCAGCGUCUUCUCCGCCGGAUCGGGUUGUGCGACAUCGUCCGGAGGUGAUCGAUAGAGGGAAAGGUAUCAGAUCAAUUGUGCUGGAUUUUCUUGAUUAGAUCUUGGAUCUCUUCCUUGUUGCUAACUGAGGUCCCGGUUGAAGUGAGGGGAGGUGAGGUUCCAUUCUUGCUGUGGAAUUGUGUUUGGUUCCGGCAGUAACAAUCACCUCAAUCCAGCAUCAACAGUAGGUUCGAUCUGCUCUGUUCUAUUUGUGAACUUUCUGAUUUCGGCAGUAAACCAUCCAGCAGCAACAACAACUGGAUUUGAGGUUGAGGUCGUCGGGAGAUAUUCCAGUCGCUAGCCCCAUUAUCGCGAGGAUUUUCUUUGUCG